UACGAAUGGGGCAAGCGUUGUUCGGAAUCACUGGGCUUAAAGCGUGCGUAGGCGGAUCUGCAAGUCAGAAGUGAAAUCCCUGGGCUCAACCCGGGAACUGCUUUUGAAACUGCAAAUCUAGAAUCCCGGAGAGGCAAGGGGAAUUCCGAGUGUAGAGGUGAAAUUCGCAGAUAUUCGGAGGAACACCAGUGGCGUAGGCGCCUUGCUGGACGGGUUAUUGACGCUGAGGCACGAAAGCGUGGGGAGCAAACAGG
rnacentral:misc_RNA from 1 species